UUAGCUCUGCUAUUUAACCAUUCAUUUAUGUGUUAUCAACUGUUCUGCAAAAUAUUUUGUUUGUUGCCUUCCUGAUUUCUUUUCUCUUUUUCUCAGAUAUGUGUACUCUGGAGCUUACUUUUCUAAAUCAAUGGUUCUACUGGAGCAACUAAUACAAUUAUGCAUGAGGGGCAAUGGUAAUUGUGCAGGAUUCAGGAAGGCUUUUGCUUAGGAUAAGGAAAAUAUAUGAGGAGAUGGAGAAAGAUAACAUAGGGCCAAAGUCAUGGACUAUGCAGGGUGAGGUAACUACUGCAAAGAAACCCAAGAAUAGGACAUUGAUAGUUGAUCUUGAGUUCUUGACUUUGAGCACAAUGUAAGACCUGCUCCUGUAAUCACUGAGGUUAAAACUUCAAUUGAGGAUAUGAUCAAGAAAAUGAUUCUUGAGUAGCAACUCCUAAACAUAUUAGUGAACUGAUGCAUGUGGAAGCCAUGGCAAUUGACGAAUUCAAAAGCCACUUGCAAGUGUGAACUGGACUUAACUAAUAGGCGUUUAUGCUGUCUUUUUUCCUCUGGCUUUUUACAGUCGGUGUUGGUUUGAUGGCUUGGUUGCAAACAGAGAUGGUGUUGAUUGUAGUGUGAGCUGUGAACAGAGGGCUGUUUGUGUCCUUCUAUUCACCUUUUUUUGGCUGGUUGCUGUGCAAAUUUGGCUUUCUUUCUGCUGCAGUGGGUGGUUUUUUACCUCUCUGUUUCGGUUCUCUUUUCUUUUUGCUUUUGAUCUUUGUACUGUGGGUUGUAACACCCCCUAAGUGUUACUUAUUCUUUUAUUCAUUUUGG